AUCUGGUCUUCUGGCAGAGAAUUCAAUCUAUUUUGUUGACGACUACAAGAUUAUCCCUUGAUGGAGGACUGCAGCAUCACACACCCCACUUUCUUCAGUGUUGAUACAAGGAUUGACAUUCUCCUCAUUUUCUACUUUAAGUCCUCAGAAAUAAACCUGAGUGGAAAACUGAAGAAAUCAAAGUACCCCAUGGAUAAGUCAACUAAGUGCUCAGACUCCUUGAAGAUUUGGGUCCCCUCUUGGACAAGAAACCCA